UCUUUCUGGAUGAGUAAUCCUUCUCAUUUUUGUAAUUUUCUGCAUGGACAACAAAUGAAACUGGACGACGAUUUGUUGGAUUCUGCCUGAUCAAGAAAACUAUGCAAGCCAUUAAUGUAUUCCAUGGAACGUUUGUUUGCGUUGUACAUCCAUUGCCGAUCCAUCUACAAAAUAUUACCGAACCAAAGAUAUUAUGAUCAUCCAUACAAUUAUAAAUGAAACAUAACAAACAUGAAACAAAUACCAUUAAACUGAAAUGUUGCUGAAAGUUUAGAUAGAAAUACAAAAAUUUAAAAUUCAAACCCAAACAAUAUG
rnacentral:lncRNA from 1 species